rnacentral:lncRNA from 1 species
CAGAGUUGGCCCUGUUCUCAUCCUGAGAGAGAAGGAGAGAGGGAGGGAGAGAGAGAGGAAGGACUGUAUCAUUUUAGCAUUUGUCAUAGGUACUGGAAUGUCCAUUGACUAUGAGCUAGCUGAACAGUUUGGGAAUUGUUAGGGAACUUUAAUUUUCAAACAUUAAUCUGGUCUCUUUGGACUGAGCUUAUAAACUAUCACCCUAGGGGUAAAGUCAUCAUGGUGAUUCUGAUGAUUCUUUUUUUAAGCCAAACCAUCAGGCAAGCUGUUUAUAUGUCGUGAUAACUUAGUGUAUUGGUAUUACGUAGAGCCUUCAGUGAUGAAAAAAUAUAAACAUCCCAUACCCGUGGAAAGAACUACUACUCCAGCAAAGAUCCUCAUAAUAUUAAAACAAUGCUUAGGACAUAUGGCCAUGUCCAAAGAGCACAUUUCAUGUAAGAAGGAGUUGGAACUGGAAAGAAGAUUUGAGAUUGGAGGGACUAUUAUUAUUUAUUUUACUUUAAGUUCUAGAAUACAUGUGCAGAACGUGCAGGUUUGUUACAUAGGAAUACAUGUGCCAUGGUCCUUUGCUGCACCUAUCAACCUGUCAACCCAUCAUCUAGGUUUUAAGCCCUGCAUGCAUUAGGUAUUUGUCCUGAUGCUCUCCCUUCCCUUGCCCCCCACCCCCCACCCCUCAACAGGCCCUGGUGUGAUGUUCCCCUCCCUAUGUCCAUGUGUUCUCAUUGUCCAAUUCCCAUGUAUGAGUGAGAACAUGUGGUGUUUGGUUUUCUGUUCCUGUGUUAGUUUGCUGAGAAUGAUGGUUUCCAGCUUCAUCCAUGUCCCUGCAAAGGACAUGAACUCAUUCUUUUUUAUGGCUGCAUAGUAUUCCAUGGUGUAUAUGUGCCACAUUUUCUUUAUCCAAUGGAGGGACUAUUAUUAAUACAGGAAUGGUAGAGGGGUCUAGAAUUCUGGAAAUAGCACCUCCUUGGUUAUUGUGCUUGACAUAUCAUUUGAAAUAUGCCCAAAUCAAGGUAUUUGAAUAAUCGAGGCAGGACUUGUAGGUGCUUUGGGCUUUGCCCAAAAGUGAUCACAGACAAUUUGCACUUUUAAAAGAACUUCGAAAGAACAACAUAAAUAGUGUGCAUAAUAAGUAGAGUUGUGCCCAGCAAGGCAGCCUGUAUCAAUGUUUUGCACAAUGUUUGCACAACUCUACAUAUUAUGUACACUAUCCUUGUUUUUUUCUUUUCUUUUUUUUUGAAUGCUUUUUAAAAAUGCAACUUGUUUGCAUUUUGUUUGUCCAAAUUUGGUGACUGGUCACAGAUCACUUGGUGUCCAACUGGCUUUUUCAUAGCCUUUCAGUAGAGAAUAGAACCCCCUCACAUUAAGCACAAUAACAUGACCUCUAAAAUGUCAAGUUCUGCUGCAGUGGUGCCAUCAUUAUUGUCACUGAGGACUUUUCAACCACCAUGUCUUUGUUAGUUGGAAUUCUGAAUUUUCCAGUGGGAUCUAUGGCAUUAAAACCAAAGAGGAAACAGGUCAGGCACUCUCCAGGAAGGAUAUCUGCUCUUACUGUUGUAAUACAGCAUGAAGAGUGUGGGACUCUAGACUGCUGGCCGGACACUUCUCUCUGUUCUCCCCAGUGGUAUAGUUAAUAAUGAUGAUGAACUUGGUGGGGGUGGUAACAAAAUUCAAUCUUAAAAAACGAACAACAAAAUCCAAUCACAAAAUUCAGGUAGACAAGUGAAACCAAUCUCUUGGGAAUCAGAUCUCUCAACUGACAAGUUUCUCUACUUUUAAAUUGAUCAUUAUGGAUAAAAUGAAUGCUGAGUUCAUAGAGAAGAAGGGAAUUUGAACACUUGGUUACACUAAAGGAGAAGGUCCUUCUAGAACUAAAUGGAGGCAUCUGUUUUACUUAAAUUAAGGGUCUGUAAAUACCAGCCAGGGACUGAGUUGACAGCCACUUCUGCAAUAAAGUAAUAAAUCUGUGUUCUGAGACAGCCCAAAGGAG